UACCCAGGAAUUCUGAUUUAUGAAGUGUU
rnacentral:piRNA from 1 species